CGGAGGAUGCGUGGUGGUCGACGGCAGCUGGCCGAGCCGUGACUCAGGACGACAUUCCUCUUCCUGAUCCGUGGAUCAGAAAAGUUACUUUCCGUUAUCUGCAUCGACGGAAUGGCUGGUAAGUGGUGGGUUGGUGUGGUACAGUCGUCUUCUACCUCACCCUUCUGGAUUUUGCAAGUAGAGAGAGAGCGCCGAGGCUGUGGAGAAGCGAUUCAAUCAGGGGGGCAAGAUCUGCCAGUGGGCAUGGAGUUCCUUAUGCAACCGAUUAAAAGAUUUAUGGUGCCUGAGGAGGUUAAUGAUUGUGAAAUCCCUAUGGAGCCCCUCCAUUAUCCUGUGGCGGCACGGAGCAGAAUCAACCCCCAUUCGAUGGGAAGAUUUGUGCGGUAGAGGCAGCCGCUAGAGAUCAGAGGGAGGAUUCCCCACAGGCCUCGGCACAGUCGGCAGGAAAGAUGGAUCCAAGAACUUCAGGAUGGGCACACAGGAGUUUUUUGGGUCGAUGGUGAAUGUUCCCUUCACAAAUGGGGCGCGGAAGAAUCUAUGUGGGAAAAUUAGCCAUGAGCAAAGCAGAGGACGAUGUACGGAAGACGAUGGAGGUUUUCGCGGAUGUCGGUUCAAAAGAUACACACUUCACCUAUCGCUAUGUUAACAAGGAGCAUGAUGUUCUUCCUCGCAUCAACCUCUUUGAUCAGGACAGUCUGUUAGAAGAAUGAUCAAUAUGGCUGCUGGCAUCGACAACGAUGUUACAUCAUACUCAAACUGCAAGUUACACGAUACUUUUAUCUAAAGCCUUAGACAACCGCGAGACGAGCUCACAGGGCGAAAGUAUAUCUUCUGCCCUGGUUUCCAGACUAACCCAUGCAACAGUGGUGUUGUUCCAUACCGACCUGAAGCAAGUGUCUCUGAAUUUUGAUACAUUCUUCAGUUCUGCAUCUGGUCAAGAACUAUCCAGGGAAUUCCCUUGUCCACAAAGUUCGUAGGUUUAUACGAAUAUCAGGUGUUGCUCCAAAGGAACAGCUAGCCGGGAACACCCUUAUGGAUCAUGAGUUGAUGCCCAUAAUCCUAUGCCGCUACUCCCAGAUUGACAUGGAAUCAGACCUAGAACCCCCUACAUCUCAUCGAGGUACCCAAUUGAACCUUUAUUCUCGGUGAGGGAGCACCUACAUAAUAUGGUAUUGCGAGUCUGUACUCAUCAGCCUGAUGAUAGGACACCGUGUUUCUGAUUGCGGGCACACCUGUACUCUUUAUCUGGGCGGUUGAGGUGCAUAUUGGGAUGUGGUGCAUUAAAUGCUGGCAUUAGAUAGAAGUGCUUCCGUAAAUAAGGAAAUGAAAGAAUACACCUGGGUUGUGGGCCAGGAUGUAAACGAGGAGACGACGUCGGCGAAGGGUUGCAGAAUUAGUCAAGUUAAAGCAUGUAGGGUUGUGGAAUUAGUCAAACCAAAUUGGAAAUCUGACAAUUAGUGUGAGUGUUGUUACCCUGAACCCAUCUUAAAGGACUUAAUUUUGUUUGGAAAGAUACUAACAACCAGCAUUUGAGAGUAUAUAUUCACUAAUUCAGAAAUAUCACUAUUGUUGCCUCUGCUUUAUUUUUAUUUUACUGCGGUAGACAACCAAAUUGGAAAUCAACCCAUUAGCGUGAGUGUUUUUCUUAUACUGAACCCAUCUUAAGGGACUUAAUUUUGUUUGUAAAGAUGCCAACACCCAGCAGUUCGUAGAAUAUAUGCACUUAUUCAGAAAUUUCAUUGUUGCAACUGCUUUAUUUGGGGAGAUACAAAUUCAGUUGAAGGAUCUGAUAUUAUACACAGUAGUGAUAAACUUCCGUUGGCUCUCCCAGGAUCACAGAAUACCACAAAACCAACACCAACAUAUAAACUCUUGCUGGAGAAUUUUUUGGUGACAAUGCUCGAGUAAUUACUAAUUAGGAAUGGUCGAAUAGAUCAACCGAUUUUCAUGUUUGGUACAAGAUUUUAACAUGGUGUUUUGUGGAAUAGAACGGUGUGUUUAAAUACAACAAAUAGAGUAUCUUGAAUUAUCAAUGUGUGAUUUUAGUGCAAAGAGGUGACAUUCUGUGUUUAAUGUGACCUGAAAAUGUGCCAAUCAAACAUGGAUUACUAAACAGUUGGACAAAUUAGUUGCUUAAAUUUGCUUUAAUUAUAUUUCUUUUUCUUUUUGAAGAGCUCAGUAACACUUGCUACAAAACCAUCAGUUCCUAUCAAAGUGGCACAUGGUGUGAUGGGAGAUCCUAUAUAUGACAUAUGCAUAUUGAGUACAUUUUCGAGAACCAUGCCAGCUUACUUAGCAAGGUCUGAAAAUAAGAUAAUGAUCCAAAGUAAGUUAACACCAGGCGAACAAAUUAAAUAUUAUUAUAGAACUCUGACCAAUUUUUUUCUCUCUUAAUGAGUGAAAGGAAUGAAUAUUAUCUAGCUAGCACAAUGUUACCAUAGCAGGAGGCACUUGUUGAGUCAGAGCACUAUGACUGUAUAGGGGAGGCCCAACUGGCAACGGGCAACGGGAUGAGACGUCAUGGUUGCACAAACAGAAGUCCAGGAGGAAGGACAGCCGCUGCAAUGACGGCAGAGAAGCAGCGAUAAGGAAAGGAGUUGGGCCACAAGCAUGAUAGAUCGUCAGACGAGUGGUAGUGUCCUGCGACUAGUGCACAGUUCCGGAAGAGGUGGUGAAAAGGGAGAGAGAGGGAGGAAUUUAUCUUUCUGGAUCCAUGUGAGAGGCACUGGAGGCCGGGAUGGUAAUUCAAAACAAUUGAAACCGGAACACAAAUUAGCGAGGACAAUUUAUUCAGUUUUCAGUAAACUAAUCUACUAAAAUGAUUAAAAUCUAUCACCAUAAUCAAGUACUGAAACUAUGUUUGCUGCCUUUGGUCAGUUCAAAAACUUAUUAGUUCAGCACUUCAGGUAAAUGGCCAUUUACUUUGAUGUGAUAAAGAGAUAUAAACACAAUUAUACUGUUCAGCAAUUAUACUCUCAAUAGGUUGAGUUUGAUUAUUUUGAGUAGGUUGGUUAUUGUUCGAUUUGAAGGGGACCAUUCGCAUCUAUACAGCGUCCAUCCUGAUUACGGUGCUUGAGGAGAAAAUAGUUCCAUAACAGCAGAGGGUAAAAUACUACUUGCAGUGGGAAUUUCUAUGGGAAUUUGUUUUCGUAGCUGAUGCUGUCAGUGCCUAUGUUGGAUGGCUGGUGACUUUACGUCAUCGACAUGGAAGAAAUGACCAUGUUAGUGAUGGACCCAUGCGAGACAUCUGAGCCUAUUGAGGAGAUGUGAUAUAAGCACGAGAACAAUGCAAACCUCAUCCUAGAUGGCCUUCGGCAUUGCAUUCAUGCAAACAUUGCUGGGUGGCAUGUGUCUGCUAAGGGCUGGACGAUUAACUACAACGUGGGAUUGCAUUUUAAUUGUGAUAUGUAAGGCAUUUGAUGCAAUUCACAUUUGCCAGCCUUGUUCGACGACCCGGAUAUGGACUAAUACCUUUUUUUUCGCAGCAAGGACAGCUCUUCGUUCUGAAUUACAUCAGGGAAGUCGAUCGGCUUUACCUAGAAAAUCAUCUCACACCGGUAAGCGCGUGGGUAAGGGGAGAUGCACAUUUCUCAUGCCGCAGAAAGAUUUUGCUCUAUUAAAAAAAUGUGCAGAACCGGCUACACUAUCUCUGAAGCUCCAUUUGCCCAUGAGGUGAUUUUGAUGAGAGGAAACAGGGGUGUGCUGCCAGAUUUCAUGAUCUUGGAAGUGCUGUUCUGAGAAGUUAAGAGGUGAUAGCGAAGGUAGUUUGGUUCUUGAAGAUGCAAGUCUAGAUGACAACCCCUAGGUUAUAUUUUGACACUUCGGGCAGUUGUUAGCUGCCUUGCCAGAUGCUGCUGUGGUAGUGCCUGGAUUCCGAUGUUUGUUCAGCACUAGAUACACUCAUGUAAAGCAAGACCUAUAUUUUUGGUCUGGAUGUGACCUGUUUAACUUCACCCCACAUAGCUGGCGUGGAAGCUCUUGUGCUCACGGUGAACUUAAAUUAUGAGCGCUAAAUGUACGAAGACAUAUCUUUAGGGCCUCUUUGAUUCAAAGGAUUUUCAUAGGAUUUUUUAAGGAUUAGAAUCCUUAGGAAUUUUUCCUACGUUGGUCGUUUGAUUCGUAGGAUUGAAUACUAUAGGAUUCUAUCCUAAGGAUUCAUUUGUACUACAUUUCAUAAGAAUUCUAACAUCCACUUCAACCUCUUGGAA